AGCGGUUUCGUGCAGGCCGGCAAGAGCACCUUGCUGGUGCUGCAGCUGGCAGGGCCGGAAGGCGCUGCAGCUGCCAAGGCUGCGGCCGAUAC
rnacentral:tRNA from 1 species